CUGAGUAUUUGCUCUGUGCCUGGCACUGUGCUAUACGUUGAGGAUAUGAAGAUGAGUAAGUCUCAGUCUAUAUCUUUAGAGACCUCACAGCCUGGAAGGAGAGUUAAAAAAUAAUUACUAUUCAACAUGGCAAUGGUUAUAAAGGAGCAGAUUUUCCAAACUGGUGUUUCAAGGAACAUUCUUUGGCAGGAUGUUAAAAAUGGGAAAGAGCAAGCCUGAAAAAGGAAAUUGAUGAAGAAACAAUUUGGUUAUUCUUGACUCAGUGGCCAAGGAGGGAAUACAGUUGCAAGGAAGACUGGGAAAUGUAGUAUACAGCUGGAGACAUCAUUGCCCUAAAUAAAAAUAGGACUCUAUUACCAAGAAAGGAGAGGAGAAUGGAUAUUGGGUGGCAUCACAGUCUCUCACACCUGAGCAUCCGAUUCUGUCAGAAGUUAAAUGAUGACCUCUCCUGUGGAUCCCUGGGUUCUUAUGAAGCAUGAGUAUAAUACAAGAUGUCAACAGGUAUUGC